rnacentral:rRNA from 1 species
GAAAGUAAGCAAGGGCAGACGGUGGAUGCCUUGGCUCUCGGAGGCGAUGAAGGACGUGAUAAGCUGCGAUAAGCUUGGGGUAGGUGCAAAUAACCUUUGAUCCCAAGAUUUCCGAAUGGGGCAACCCGGCUGGUAGAAGGCCAGUCAUUCCGUAAGGAAGGCGAACGUGGGGAACUGAAACAUCUAAGUACCCAUAGGAGAAGAAAACAAAAGUGAUUCCGCAAGUAGUGGCGAGCGAACGCGGAAUAGCCCAAACCGAUGAUGUUUAGGCAUUGUCGGGGUAGUAGGACCACGUUGUGGCAAGAGAUUAAGGAAGUAGAACGUUUUGGAACAAACGGCCGUAGACGGUGAAAGCCCGGUAUACGACUCUUUAACGAAGCCUAGUGGAAUCCUGAGUAGCGCGGAGCACGAGAAAUUCUGUGUGAAUCAGCGGGGCCCAUCCCGUAAGGCUAAAUACUCCCGAGAGACCGAUAGCGAACCAGUACUGUGAAGGAAAGGUGAAAAGCACCUCGAACAGAGGAGUGAAAUAGUCCCUGAAACCGUCUGCCUACAAGCGGUCGGAGCACAUUAAAGUGUGACGGCGUGCCUUUUGCAUAAUGAACCUACGAGUUACUUUCUCCGGCAAGGUUAAGGGCUUCAGGCCCGGAGCCGAAGCGAAAGCGAGUCUUAAUAGGGCGUGAUAGUCGGAGUGAGUAGACGCGAAACCAAGUGAUCUACCCUUGGUCAGGAUGAAGGUUGGGUAACACCAACUGGAGGUCCGAAUGGGUAUACGUUGAAAAGUGUUCCAAUGAACUGAGGGUAGGGGUGAAAGGCUAAUCAAACUUGGAGAUAGCUCGUACUCCCCGAAAUGCAUUUAGGUGCAGCCUUUAUUUAGUAUAGCAUGAGGUAGAGCGACUGAUUGGAUGCGAGGGCUUCACCGCCUAUCAAGUCCAGAUAAACUCCGAAUGCGUGCUAUAUAUUGAUAAGGAGUGAGGGCGCGGGUGCUAAGGUCCGCGUCCGAGAGGAGAAGAAUCCAGACCAUCAGCUAAGGUCCCCAAAUAACAGUUAAGUUGAACUAACGAAGUCGGACUGCAGAGACAGCUAGGAUGUUGGCUUGGAAGCAGCCAUUCAUUUAAAGAGUGCGUAACAGCUCACUAGUCGAGGAGUCCGGCGUGGAUAAUACUCGGGCAUAAACUGUUUACCGAAGCUAUGGAUGUAGAAAUACAUGGUAGGGGAGCAUUCCAACGGCGUCGAAGGUGAAGGAUGACCUUUGCUGGAGCUUUUGGAAACGCAAAUGUAGGUAUAAGUAACGAUAAAGGAGGUGAGAAACCUCCUCGCCGAAAGACUAAGGUUUCCUGAUCAACGUUAAUCGGAUCAGGGUAAGUCGGGACCUAAGGUUAAGCCGAACGGCGAUACCGAUGGAAGAAUGGUUUAAUAUUCCCAUACUACUUUAUGGAGCGAUGUGGAGACGGAGAAGUGAAAGUCCUGCCAUCUGACGGAAUAGGUGGUUGAAGAGUGUAGAUGUAGAUUCCUGUAGGCAAAUCCGCAGGGAGAGUCGACCUUGACAGUAUGCCGCGUGCUUGCACAAGGCAAAAUGGACGUAAUCAGGCUCCCAAGAAAAUCCGCUAAGCAUAUUCAUAAAGUACCCGUACCGUAAACGGACACACGUAGUUGGGUUGAAAAUACUGAGGCGCUCGAGUGAUUCACGGUUAAGGAACUAGGCAAAUUGACCCUGUAACUUCGGGAUAAAGGGUCCCUACUGAGAGGUAGGGCGCAGAGAAUAGGUCCAGGCAACUGUUUAACAAAAACACAUGGCUGUGCGAAAUAGAAAUAUGAAGUAUACAGCCUGACACCUGCCCGGUGCUGGAAGGUUAAGAGGAGAGCUCAUCGCAAGAGAAGGCUUGAAUUGAAGCCCCAGUAAACGGCGGCCGUAACUAUAACGGUCCUAAGGUAGCGAAAUUCCUUGUCGGGUAAGUUC